rnacentral:lncRNA from 1 species
GUUGGUAUAUUUUAGUAAAAUGUAUCAAGUUUAAGAUUACAAAUAUGUCUCUGUUAAAAAAACUAACUGUAAAUCCAAGGAUAUACACGUUGACAAAAAGAUGAUAAAGAAAUACCUUUUAUUUUUUUAUUUUAAAUUAAAUUUUAAAAUUAUUAAAAUAUCUUUGAAUUAGUUAGUUUUUUUUUAACAAAGACUUAUGGGGUUGCUCCCUCCACUACCAC